rnacentral:lncRNA from 1 species
GGGGAUAUUCAGAAACAGAAAAUAACACCUGCUUUCUCAUUUCCAGAGCUAUCAGCUUCCCAGUUUGCACAAUUCAUCAAGAAAUUAUGCGGGGUCACUGGCACAAAUGAUGAGGCAUCUCCUGGGAGCUUAACUUCUUAUCCAUCCCAUCUCUUGGACAGAUGAUGCCAGUUAAUUACUUUGAAUAGAAGACUCACUGGUGGCACCUGCAGCUGCGGCGUUUUCCCCAAGGGGUCUGUCACACGCAGCCCAACUCAACUGGAGUCCUGAGAAGGUGAACAGACCAGGAUGGAUGCCCAGGGAACUCACCAGAAGUCCCCAGGCAUCAGAACAAGGUCGAAACAUCCUGGUGCUCACCUUCUAGCACAUUCUUCAAGAGUGACUCUGAGGCAAGCCAGCCGCCAUGUCAUGAGGACACUCAAGCAGCACCAUGGAGAGGUCCGAUGGCGAGGAACAGAGGAUCCCCCUGCCGACAGCCAAUGAGGAACAGGCCUCCUGCCAACAGCCGUGUAAGGGGUCACCUUGGAAGCCAAUGGCCCCUCCCUGGUCAGGCUUUUACAUGACUGCAGUCCUGGCCAACAUCCUGACGGCAACCUCAUGAGAGACCUUGAGCCAGAGCCACCCACCUAAGCUGCUUCUAGGUUCCUGGCCCUCAGAAACCACGACAAACCGGAGAAAGCCAAAUAUGCUCCCCUAACCAAUUACUUAGGAUGCCCCUCUUCUAAUGAGCCCAACUGUAGCUUUCCUGCACCACCAACAGGACGUACCUGAAGCCUUCUCCUUUUUCCGCUAUAAAGCCUUCCCCUCGACCUGCCUUUGAGUCUCCAUGAAAAGCAAGUGACAGUGGCUGCCUCCCUUACUGUAGCAAGCUCUGAAUAAACAGCCUUUGCUUGCUCUCAUGUGAGUGGUCUUUG